rnacentral:rRNA from 1 species
GGAUUAGAUACCCUGGUAGUCCUCGCAGUAAACGAUGAGUGCUAAGAGUUAGCAUAUUUUUGUUAGCUCUGUAGCUAACGCGUUAAGCACUCCGCCUGGGGAGUACGAUCGCAAGGUUGAAACUUAAAGGAAUUGACGGGGGCCCGCACAAGCGGUGGAGCAUGCGGUUUAAUUCGAUGAUACGCGAAAAACCUUACCAACAAACUAAAGCCUUGACUUGCCAAAGUUAAGAUUCACAGAGAAUGUGAAUUCCAGUUCGGCUGGCUUUGGUACAGGUGUUGCAUGGCUGUCGUCAGCUCGUGCCG